rnacentral:rRNA from 1 species
UACAGGGGGUGCAAACGUUGCUCGGAAUUAUUGGGCGUAAAGCGCGCGUAGGCGGCUACUUAAGUCGGAUGUGAAAGCCCUUGGCUCAACUGAGGAAGUGCACCCGAAACUGAGUGGCUUGAGUACUAAAGAGGGUCGCGGAAUUCCCGGUGUAGAGGUGAAAUUCGUAGAUAUCGGGAGGAACACCGGUGGCGAAGGCGGCAUCCUGGACCGGUAUUGACGCUGAGGAGCGAAAGCCAGGGGAGCAAACGGG